rnacentral:tRNA from 1 species
GCCUGGCUAGCUCAGUCGGUAGAGCAUGAGACUCUUAAUCUAAGGGUCGUGGGUUCAUGCCCCAUGUUGGGCG